UACAGAGGGGGCAAGCGUUGUUCGGAAUUACUGGGCGUAAAGGGCGCGUAGGCGGCCUGCUAAGUCGAACGUGAAAUCCCUGGGCUCAACCCAGGAACUGCGUCCGAUACUGGAAGGCUUGAAUCCGGGAGAGGGAUGUGGAAUUCCAGGUGUAGCGGUGAAAUGCGUAGAUAUCUGGAGGAACACCGGUGGCGAAGGCGACAUCCUGGACCGGUAUGACGCUGAGGCGCGAAAGCCAGGGGAGCAAACGGG
rnacentral:rRNA from 1 species